UUUUAUCUCUUGAUGUAAUAUGGAAAGUGGAGCAUUAACUUACAAAAGUUCCUACAGACGAUCCACUUAGGAAGAUGGCAGAGUACUUGGAUUCCAGUCGAGUUGAGGUCUGGGAGAAGACCUCCUGCAACAAACAAGUUACAUUUUUGGUAUACCGAGAAGGAGAUCAGUUGAAUUUCUUUCCUGCAGUAGAUAGGGGAGAUGGCACUUUAACACCGUUAUCUGACUCUUCAAAGAAAAUAGAUUUUCAUUUGCAUGUCCUACGGAGAAAAGGAGAACAUUGUAUGAGUGGUGGUUCUAUGUAUAAUUCAGAUACAGAUGAGGAUGAAGAAACUGAGCCUUCUUCUUCUGGGCAACAGAUAAUUGAAAAUUCAAUAACUAUGAAUAAGAUGAAGCUGCUGAAGGCUAAGAUGAAGAAUAUGAAUCUCAGCAAAAAGCCUAAGAAAGCUGUCAAGAUAAAACCUCACCCACCUAUAGCUCCUCGACCUUCUAGUGGUUCCACUGCACCAUCUCGCCACCGAUUGUUAAGGGUCCUCCCCAACACUGGUCAAUCUUGUUCACCUGCUUUUGGGAACGCAUAUCUGCCCGAAAUCUCCAGGAAUGGAAUUUCAAGUUUGGCAACUCAACUCUCUGCUGAGAGAUCCAUAUCUUCUAUCACUGGUGAAUUUCUUAAGGAAGAUAAUAGCUGGGAGAAUAACACACUGUCUCACUUCAGUAGCAACGUCAAACUACCUCCUCAGAUACCCCAUUUGGAGUUGGGAAAUGACCAGGAGCUUGCUGACUCUGUUCUCCAUCUUGGAUCAUCCCUGCCUAGGCAAACAAAACAUUUUUUAGGAAACUUGCCAUCUAGUAAUGAGAACAUUGUCUUACCUUCAGAAGAAUGUGUAACCGAACAAUCACUUCUACCUAAAGUGGGCUCACUGGCUUCAUUUGCAGAAGGAAAUGCUGAUGAACAGAGCAGCGGCUUAGAAGGUGCGUGCAAAGUGAAUCCGGAGUUGCUACUCACUAAUGCUGACAAAGGGUUGAAAGCUCCAGAGCAGCAUCUCAAGCAUGUUGCAGGAGUGCUGAAUGGGGAAUCAGUAGAGACUUCAGUUCUUAACUACCGGGAAUUAAGUCCUCACAAGAAUAGACUCUUGUCACCUCUUCGCUGUUCUGCACCAAUGUCGCUACAUAAUUCUCUGGUGAAACCAGAAAGACAGUCCAAAUGUUUUGAGUUUGGGAAGCUACAGCCUUCUUCUUCUCAGUCACUGGAUGUUCAAAACAUAACUGAUUCUUCUUUCUCUAGGACUACUUGCUUUCAAGGUGUUAAAGUUGAUUCACUUGGGAAAAGAUCUGAUGUUAUUUCCAAAGUUGAGGCUCGGGAUAUCACAGAAAUGACUAACAAGGCUUCCAAAGAGCCUGUUGGUUGUGUAAAUAAUAUCAGUUUUCUUGCCUCACUGGCCGGGAGCACAAGCAGAAAUAGAUUACAGAGCACACGUGGGGCAGGCAGGCUUCAGAACUCUGGAACUGGGCUGUCUACAAACCUCCAGCAUUUUCAGGAAGAAAACUUUAGGAAAAGUUCUCCCCAGUUAGAACAUACAGGAGUUUUUUUGUCUACCCAUGGUGUUGGAAUGAAUGGAAAUAAUGCAGCAGCAGGGAAAAGCGUAGGAGAAUGUACUACUCAUCACCUCCCACCUGUGAAAGCCCCUCUUAAGACAAAGAAGAAAACAACAAAUCAUUGUUUUCUUUGUGGAAAGAAAACAGGACUGGCUAGUAGCUACGAAUGCAGAUGUGGAAACAACUUCUGUGCAUCUCAUCGUUAUGCAGAAACUCAUGGCUGUACCUAUGAUUACAAGAGUGCAGGGAGGAGAUACUUGCACGAGGCAAAUCCUGUGGUUAAUGCACCAAAGCUUCCAAAAAUCUAACUCUUCCUCUACAUCUUACUGUUCUGCCUGGGAUUCGUAUUAUAAUGACAG
rnacentral:sRNA from 1 species